rnacentral:rRNA from 1 species
UACAGAGGUCUCAAGCGUUGUUCGGAAUUACUGGGCGUAAAGGGUGCGCAGGCCGCGCGGGCAGUCAAAUGUGUAAUUCAAGGGCUCAACCCCUGCACUGCGCUUGAUACUUCCGCGCUCGAGCUUUGGAGAGGAGUCUGGAAUUCUCGGUGUAGCAGUGAAAUGCGUGGAUAUCGAGAAGAACACUUAGGGCGUAGGCAAGACUCUGGACAAAUGCUGACGCUCAUGCACGAAGGCUAGGGUAGCGAACGGG